rnacentral:rRNA from 1 species
UGGGGAAUUUUGCACAAUGGGGGAAACCCUGAUGCAGCGACGCCGCGUGAUUUAGAAGGCCUUCGGGUUGUAAAAAUCUUUUCUAUGGGAAGAAAAUGACAGUACCAUAGGAAUAAGGACCGGCUAAUUACGUGCCAGCAGCCGCGGUAAUACGUAAGGUCCGAGCGUUGUCCGGAAUCAUUGGGCGUAAAGGGUACGUAGGCGGGUAAGCAAGUUAGAAGUGAAAUCCUGUAGCUCAACUACAGUAAGCUUUUAAAACUGCUCAUCUUGAGAUAUGGAAGGGAAAGUGGAAUUCCGAGUGUAGCGGUGAAAUGCGCAGAUAUUAGGAGGAAUACCGGUGGCGAAGGCGACUUUCUGGCCAUAAUCUGACGCGGAGGUACGAAAGCGUGGGUAGCAAACAGG